UGACAAUAGUGAAAAACUUGGAGUCAGUAAUCUUGAGUGGCCCAGUGCACUGCUCCUUAAUGUCUGCUGUUAGAGUUUUCUGUGUUUAGGGUUAGACCACGGCAGGAAGCAAGCAGGCAUUGAGCUGGGGCAGUAGCUGAGAGCUUUGUAUCCUGGGCCUGACAUGGGCUUUUGAAAUGUGAAAAGUGACACACCUCCUCCAGUAUGCCACACCUAAUCUUUCCUAAAUAGUUCUACUAACUAGAGGCCAAGUGUCACACAUCUGAACUUGUGGGGCCAUUCUCACUCAAACUACCACACUGUGUGUCUGACCCUCACAGCCCUCAAAUUAGAAAAUAAGAGUAAAAGUACUCAUCUUGUUGGGCACAGUGUGGGGCCAGUUCCACUGUGGCCGCCCAUGAGUGCCUGAAACCAGAAAGUGUUAAACCUAGGCAUGCUGGUGAGUAAAUGAGAAGGAGAUUAACAGUAACAGUAUGGGAUUGCCCUAGUAACAUCUAUGAUGGCAGGUAUUUCACACUUUUUAGGCAGCAUGGUGGCACAUGCCUGUGGUCCCAGCCUGGAAGGCCUCGAAGAUCAUGAGUUGGCAAUCAGCCUGAGCUAAAGUGAGACCUUCUUUCAAAAUGGGGGGGGGGAGGAGAACAGUAUCAGUUAGUGUUCUGGUGUCUUCCAUUUAAAAUGUUCAGACUAUGGUUGCUACAAAAAGGAUGAAGGUGGGGGCAAGAUACUAAUUAGGCUUAUUACUUGCUGGUGUUAUGCACUCACAAAAUACAUGAAACUCACACAGGAUAACGGCAUGGUGGCGAAUGCCUUUAAUCCCAGCACUGGGGGAGGCAGCUCUCUGUGUUCAAGGCCAGCCUGAUCUUCAGAGUGAGUUCCAGGACAGCCAGGGCUACACAAAGAAAAAAAACCUCGAACCCCACCACCACCAAAAGAAAGACAGACACACAGGAAAUAAGCCAGGCAUGGUAGUUUAUAGCUGCAAUCCCAGCACUUUCAAGGCUAAGGCAUUAGUGUAUGAAAGGCCGGCCUGGGCUAUACAGUGAAACUGUAUCAAAAAUAACUAAGACAUCCAGGUAGUGGUGGCACACACUUUUAUCCCAGCACUCGUGAAGCAGAGACAGGCAGAUCUCAGAGAGUUCAAGAUCAGCCUGCCUAUCUGUCUCAAAAAAGGGGCUGGGGGACAGAGACAAGAUGCUACAGAGAUGGUCAGUAGUUCAAACUGUUUGCUGAGAAAUCUACGAGAGGUUAGGUGCAGGAUUCGCACACAUGCCUGUAGCUGCAGCUCUGAGGAGGGUGAUGACAAGAUGAACUCAGCAUCUUCAGGAAGUGACCCUGCCUCGGAGGAAUUGCACUGAGUGGAGAUGAAGACACUUGAUGCUGCCUUCUGGCCUCCCUGUGCACACACAUGUAACCACACAUAUGUGUACAUACAUACAUAGGUAAUAUACAGGGUGGUGUGCACACCUUUAAUCCCAGCAUUUGGGAGGCAGAGGAAGGAACUCAGAGCUGGAGGUAGGCCUACAGAGUUCCAGGCCAGCCAGGGCUACACAGUAAGAUCACGGAAGGAGGGAGGGGGAGGGGCGGAGCAAGAAGCCAGGGAAGCAGAGGUAGGUGGCGCUCUCUGAGUUUGUGGGCAGCCUGGUCUACAUAUCAAGUUCCAGGACAGCCACAGGAAAUGUAGAAUGUAGAGAGCCCCUGUCCCCAAAACAAAAAAACACUUGUGAGGAGUCACCAAAACCAUGAGAAGAAUGGCUGUGAGCAAAGACACGACUUUCUACUUCCGUCUACAGAGCACACACCAUCCCAAAGAAACGGAACAACUUUCCCGCACCACUGGGGAUGCAGUCCAGACUGCAGCCUACUCCCCUGGCCCUCUCUGUCCUCACUGGUGGCCACUCGCAUCCCUGCCACCCCUUUCUUGCCUGCUCUGAAAGGCACCUCUUCACUCUGCAGCCCUUUCAGGACUGUGUCUCCCCAAACAGACCAAAAUCCUCGCUUCCGGGGGCACCGCCCCACAUCCCCUCAUCUCUGCCUUCUCACGCCGUAGUGGCCACCGAAACCAGAAGUUUCCAAACAGACACAGGGAAGAGUACCUCCCCUAAAUCCUUGAGUUCUCCGGGGUCCAUUCAUUUACCCAUCGGCUCCAGGGGAAAUCGGAGCAAGCAAGCAAGCAAGCAAGCAAGCAAGCAAGCAAGCAAGCAAGCAAGCAAGCAAGCAAGCAAGCAAGCAAGCAAGCAAACGGGACCACAACCCCCACGGCGGCUCAGAGGAAACGUCUAGGCUGCCUUCCCUAGCCCCUGGCUCUUGGGCUUCGCCUCCCCGAGUGAAAGCGGACUGGCCCCUUCCUGGACCGCACUGUGUGAGAUCCCUGGGCGGGCUGACACCAACCAGACGGGCAUGCGGGGCCCUUGGCCAGCACCGGCCUUCGCUGUGAGCCCUCUUCCUGGAGUCCCCGCAAGGAAAGAAGACAAAAGCCCAUCCGUCCUGCAGGGAGGGCGCAGUCCUCCCGGACCCAGCGCCUCCCAACCGAGACCCACCCUUCUGACUACGAACCACCAGGCGCCCCGCGCCGCGUUGGACCCGCCCGAGUGUGCUCGCAGAGGCCUGGGCCCCUCCCGCCCCUGUCCGCGGUCGGGCUGUGGGACGCGGUGAGCCGCUCGAGCGCCCCGACGUGCGGAGCCCCCGGUGUCCUCGCGCUGCGUGCUGGGCGACCUUAGGUAAGUCACCUACCCUCUCUGGGCCCCGUCUCCGACGAUCCCCCGGGACCCCACCCGCCCCGCGGGCCUGGGUCCGCUCACCUCCAGCGACGGGUGCUCUCGGACCAGCUCGGCAGCGGAGCGGGCCAGCCGUACUCGCCGCCCGUCCACCAGCAGCGGCAUUGCCUAAGCCGCUGCCAGGCCGAGGUAGGCGCCCGCCCCGCCCUUCCCCGCCCUGCCCUGACCCGCCCAUCUUGGAGGGCACGCCCCAACCCGCCGCGGGGACUGCCGGGACGAGGGAAUCGAAGUUACGAGGAGGCCGCAAGGCAUCACGGGAGAUGCAGUCCCGCCUGUAGGCACCUUGUCGGAGGCCGUCUUUCGCUGCGGACGCUGGGAGAUGUCGUCACCGAGGCUGGGCGUCCCCGCCUCUGCGUUUCCUCCUGGCCCUUCACCGCCCUCAGCAGAAAAGCCCGCCAGUCCAGUCACCCACCUCUAAACCGUGGAUCUAAAUGUAAACUGUUUUGUGUGACCCCAAGCCAAAGCCAUCGCCCUGACAUUCUCAAGUAGGGCUGAAAAAGAUGCAGGUAAAGUCAAGUUCUGGCUAAGACAGGGUUUUCAGCCUGCCCGUGGUGUCUUCCUCAGCCUGCACUCCCAGCGUUACAUAAAUUACAUAGCUUUUACAAAGUAGUUGACCACCGGAAGGUCCCAAAACACAGGAAUAAGGUCUGUUUAUUGAACUUGGGGGUCACAACCUGUACCCCAAGUCAGGUCCAGUCGCCUGCUCCCAAUAAGCCAACUGAUUAAUUAAAGAGCCUAACUAAAAGUGGGAAGCAGAAAGACCAUAUUCAAUAUGGUCACAUUGGGAAGAAGGACAAAGAGGGCCAGUUAACACCUCAAGUCCAUCUUCGUGAGGUCAAAGUUUAAAUAGAAGGGAAAGGAUAUGCACAUCUAAGCAGACCAUUCACCCAUUGUGGAGAGCCAGAUUCUAGGGUAAAGGGGCCAGCCAAAGAAACAUACCCUUGCUGCUGACCAACUCAAUACAAAAACCAACCAAUCCCGGAACAGGAAAACCCACUAAUCCCUGAACACAAAACUAGACAAAUCCUGAGCAUGGAUUCCACCCAAUCUCUGAGCUUGUCUGAGUUCAAUGAUUGAAAUCUAACCAGUUACCAACUUGAAAUUCCUCACCCUGGAAAAACUGCCCCUAAGAAGCCCUACUGUACCUGUUCAGUUGGGAGCUGCCUUUUGACACUCUGGCAGAGACAGCCAUCCUUCUGGAUUCUUCCCUCCCAAUAAAUCUCUUAAUGUUUGGGUGAGGACCUUCUUUAGCUCAAGUCAACCACACAGAACUGUAACACUUUCACUGAGGAAACCUUCCCCUAGGGAACAUUGGGGAGGUGUGGUGGUAUUGACUUUGUGGUGUUAUUUCUUGGCUCCAGACUGCCAGGAUACGUAUCACAGCUGUGAUGCUUAGACACACCAAACCAAGACUUUCUAAGAGGCCUUAACGAAAAGACAGAGGUUAUUUCUGUGUGCUUGUCCAGAAACAGACUUGACAAAGCCUCCCUCACACUGAAGCCAGUGUCUGGUGUUUCUGGAAACCUGACUCUUCUCCCUGGGCUAUCGUUGUCAGUCCUAAAGCUGUGUUUGCCGUA